rnacentral:sRNA from 1 species
UUAACUGAAAACAAAUUGGUAUUAUUUUAUGUGAUCACAGUGAAUUAGUGUCUUACUUGCCACUGCCUAUACGUUCCUGAUAACAAGUCUACCUGUUGAAACAAAAAGUUAGUAGUUGUAGUAUAAGUAUUCAACGAGGUUGAAUAUUUUACAAACUUAUUGAGUCAUCAAAACAAAAAAAGGACUGAAGAAACUGUUGCAGAGAAAAUGGCCGGAAAGAUUUUAAUUAUGAUCAUCAUUACUUAUCUGAUACCUAACAUACAAUGCUUACCAAACAAGCGGCUUUGUGGCUGCCUGUUUUCUGAUCAGGAUGGAAUGAAAGCAGACUGUGAAAAUAGACAUGACAUUGAUUUCAAGUGUCUGUCUCGGCAGCCUAUUAAGUCCUUGGAUCUAUCACACAAUGGAUUUCUGAAAUGGCCAGAGAAAUUGAUUUCACGUAUAUGGGAGAACAUUCUCUACCUGGAUCUCUCAUUCAACAACAUUUCAUACUUGUCUAGAUGCAUAUACAAUGCAAUGCCACUUUUGAUAAGUGUGAAUCUUACCUAUAACAGCAUCAAAAAAAUGUCCUGUGACGCAUGCGUUACACCUUUCAUCGAUUUGGAUCACAACAACCUGACGGAUUGGCAAAAUUAUUGCAGUACUUGCAAUUCGAACAUCACAAAACGAUUAAAUGAACAGUCGAAUUUGGUCGAACUGGAGUCCAGUGAUUGCAUUUUGAAUGCUUCCGAUGAACCGAAACCAGUGACGUCGCAGGACCAGAAGAAAACUGACCAAAAGAACAUAAAACAAAUUUUUUCGAUCGGUAUUAUUUUUCUUAUUCUAUUCGUUAUUGGAAACCUUAUGAUCAUGAAUAAUAAACUCAUGCCAUCAUAUGUAAGGCGUCGUGUAGAAUAUAGAAAUGUAAGUAGAACAGUAAGCAAUGACACAGUAACAGUAAGCAAUGACACAAACCAUACAAAAUUGUAAAAUCAGUUCAAUUGAUGCCGCCAAAAUUCAAAUACAUAUGGGUAAUUCUCUGAUGUCGCACGCGACAUUUGUACGCAUUCAACAUUUUCUUCCAUCAUAUUUUUUAAAUUCUUUAAUACUUUUUGAGUAAA